rnacentral:tRNA from 1 species
GGGGUUGUAGCUCAGUGGUAGAGCGCUCGCCUAGCAUGUGUGAGGCCCUGGGUUCGAUCCUCAGCACCA